rnacentral:rRNA from 1 species
CGUGUAGGCGGCCUGAUAAGUCUGGAGUGAAAGUCCACUUUUCAAGGGUGGAAUUGCUUUGGAUACUGUUAGGCUUGAGUGCGGAAGAGGUAAGUGGAAUUCCCAGUGUAGCGGUGAAAUGCGUAGAGAUUGGGAGGAACACCAGUGGCGAAGGCGACUUACUGGGCCGUAACUGACGCUGAGGCGCGAAAGCGUGGGGAGCGAACA